rnacentral:rRNA from 1 species
CUUAGAUAUUUUAAAUACAAAAAAUAUUCGCCAGAGAAUUACGAGCUAAACAUGCUUAAAACUCUAAGGACUUGGCGGUACCUCAAACCCACCUAGAGGAGCCUGUUCUAUAAUCGACAAUCCACGAUUCACCUCACCAUCUCUUGCCAACUCCGCCUAUAUACCGCCGUCACAGCUUACCUUAUGAAAGAUAAAAAGUCAGCAAAAUAAUCUAAAUAAUUAGCAAAUCAGGUCAAGGUGUAGCUUACUGAGAUGGAAGAAAUGGGCUACAUUUUCUAUACUAGAAAUAACUACGGAAAGAUACCUUGAAACAGGUCCUAUAAGCAGGAUUUAGCAGUAAACUGGGAAAAGAGAGCCCAA